rnacentral:tRNA from 1 species
GGGGGUAUAGCUCAGUGGUGGACUGUGCAUUUAGCAUGCAUGAGGUCCUGGGUUCAAGCCUCAGUAUCUCCA